rnacentral:rRNA from 1 species
AACGAACGCUGGCGGCAUGCCUAACACAUGCAAGUCGAACGAGACCUUCGGGUCUAGUGGCGCACGGGUGCGUAACGCGUGGGAACCUGCCCUUAGGUUCGGAAUAACUCAGAGAAAUUUGAGCUAAUACCGGAUAAUGUCUUCGGACCAAAGAUUUAUCGCCUUUGGAUGGGCCCGCGUAGGAUUAGCUUGUUGGUGGGGUAAUGGCCUACCAAGGCGACGAUCCUUAGCUGGUCUGAGAGGAUGAUCAGCCACACUGGGACUGAGACACGGCCCAGACUCCUACGGGAGGCAGCAGUGGGGAAUAUUGGACAAUGGGCGAAAGCCUGAUCCAGCAAUGCCGCGUGAGUGAUGAAGGCCUUAGGGUUGUAAAGCUCUUUUACCAGGAUGAUAAUGACAGUACCUGGAGAAUAAGCUCCGGCUAACUCCGUGCCAGCAGCCG